rnacentral:rRNA from 1 species
AUGAACGCUGGCGGCGUGCCUAAUACAUGCCAGUCGAGCGAACAGACGAGGAGCUUGCUCCUCUGACGUUAGCGGCGGACGGGUGAGUAACACGUGGAUAACCUACCUAUAAGACUGGGACAACUUCGGGAAACCGGAGCUAAUACCGGAUAAUAUAUUGAACCGCAUGGUUCAAUAGUGAAAGACGGUUUUGCUGUCACUUAUAGAUGGAUCCGCGCCGCAUUAGCUAGUUGGUAAGGUAACGGCUUACCAAGGCAACGAUGCGUAGCCGACCUGAGAGGGUGAUCGGCCACACUGGAACUGAGACACGGUCCAGACUCCUACGGGAGGCAGCAGUAGGGAAUCUUCCGCAAUGGGCGAAAGCUUGACGGAGCAACGCCGCGUGAGUGAUGAAGGUCUUCGGAUCGUAAAACUCUGUUAUUAGGGAAGAACAAAUGUGUAAGUAACUAUGCACGUCUUGACGGUACCUAAUCAGAAAGCCACGGCUAACUACGUG